rnacentral:tRNA from 1 species
GGGCCCUUAGCUCAGUUGGUUAGAGCAGCGGACUCAUAAUCCGCCGGUCGCAGGUUCGAGUCCUGCAGGGCCCA